CAGCGGGCCGCGGCCGUCGAACGGCCGCACCGCCGGAGGGAAGAAGCUCGCGUAGUACAUCGCGGUCGCCUCCGUCGACCACUUACAGGGUUUCAGUUGUCCCAGGCGACUCUCAUAGAAGACUCGGGAGCAGCAGAGGACGGAGGUCCGCUUCGUCCGGUCUCGUUGCUCUCAUUAAUCCAGGUAUGGGGCGUUGUUCAAAGAAAAAAAAAUACAGGAAAAAAAAGCGAAAUCACACACCGAUGAGAAGGGGAAUGGAAAAACCAAGGCACAGCCAGUCGCCGAAGACGCGCACAACACAAGCUCGCGCGUGCAACGUGAAAA
rnacentral:lncRNA from 1 species